AGCGAACGCUGGCGGCAGGCCUAACACAUGCAAGUCGAACGAACCUUUCGGGGUUAGUGGCGGACGGGUGAGUAACACGUGGGAACGUGCCUUUAGGUUCGGAAUAACUCAGGGAAACUUGUGCUAAUACCGAAUGUGCCCUUCGGGGGAAAGAUUUAUCGCCUUUAGAGCGGCCCGCGUCUGUUUAGCUAGUUGGUUGAGGUAAUGGCACACCAAGGCGACGAUCAGUAGCUGGUCGGAGAGGGUGAUCAGCCACAUUGGGACUGAGACACGACCCAAACUCCUACGGGAGGCAGCAGUGGGGAAUCUUUCGCAAUGGGCGAAAGCCUGACGCAGCCAUGCCGCGUGAAUGAUGAAGGUCUUAGGAUUGUAAAAUUCUUUCACCGAGGACGAUAAUGACGGUACCCAGAGAAGAAGCCCCGGCUAACUUCGUG
rnacentral:rRNA from 1 species